AAGUUUUCAAUCCUUUCACAGUGAGUUAGCAAAACUGAGUUCCAAGACUUUGCUCGUUCUUGUUAUGUUCGUGGCUUUUGUACUCGUUCUUUUUGCUGAAGUUGCACCCAAAGAUAUGGAUGAGAAUUUUCAUGCAAAUGAUGUAGGUGUUGUUGAUACAAAUGUGGUAGAUGAAAUAAAAUAUGGUUACGGUAGUUGGCGAACUGGUGCAGCAUUGUCCUCCUAAUUGCUGUUAUGUGUUCCGUGGAAAGUGUAUAAGGUGCUGCUGAACCUCAUACCUAAGAAGGAACUUUUGCUAAGAACUAGUUGUUGCUGUCACUAUCACUAUAUAUAAAUAAAGAGAAAUGCAACACAAACUACAUGAGAAGUGUAGUUAUACAUGAAAUAAAAAUGAAAAUCUCUCCUUCUUAACAAAAGAAUGAUAGAUUAAUUUGACAUGUUUUCC